GACGAAGGGGGCUAGCGUUGUUCGGAAUUACUGGGCGUAAAGCGAGUGUAGGUGGUUGUCCAAGUUGGAUGUGAAAGCCUUGAGCUCAACUCAAGAAAUGCAUUCAGGACUGGGCGGCUAGAGGACCGGAGAGGAUAGUGGAAUUCCCAGUGUAGUGGUGAAAUACGUAGAGAUUGGGAAGAACACCAGUGGCGAAGGCGGCUAUCUGGACGGGUUCUGACACUAAGACUCGAAAGCGUGGGGAGCAAACAGG
rnacentral:rRNA from 1 species